AACGAACGCUGGCGGCAGGCUUAACACAUGCAAGUCGAACGCACCGCAAGGUGAGUGGCAGACGGGUGAGUAACACGUGGGGAUCUGCCCAAUGGUACGGAAUAGCUCCGGGAAACUGGAAUUAAUACCGUAUGAGCCCGCAAGGGGAAAGAUUUAUCGCCAUUGGAUGAACCCGCGUCGGAUUAGCUAGUUGGUGUGGUAAAGGCGCACCAAGGCGACGAUCCGUAGCUGGUCUGAGAGGAUGAUCAGCCACACUGGGACUGAGACACGGCCCAGACUCCUACGGGAGGCAGCAGUGGGGAAUAUUGGACAAUGGGCGCAAGCCUGAUCCAGCCAUGCCGCGUGAGUGAUGAAGGCCUUAGGGUUGUAAAGCUCUUUCGCCGACGAAGAUAAUGACGGUAGUCGGAGAAGAAGCCCCGGCUAACUUCGUGCCAGCCGCCGCCGUAACAC
rnacentral:rRNA from 1 species